GCCUGAUAAUGAAGAUAUGGCAAUUUAGGCUAAUUUGGUAACUAAUCUUAGAAGAUUGAGGGAAUCAUAUCUUGUAAAGAUUUAGAUUAGAUUUGAUAUGACAUAUCUUGUAAAUCCCUAAAACAAAGGGAUAUGGUUAAUCUCGUCCGUCGAUGUAAAUGUAUCUUAACCGUUGGUUUUGGGGAGCUCAACUAUAAAUAGAGAGCCUCCCC
rnacentral:lncRNA from 1 species